rnacentral:pre_miRNA from 1 species
UAUCUACUCCCUCCGUUCCAAAUUACUCGUCGCAGAAAUGGAUGUAUCUAGAACUAAAAUACAUCUAGAUACAUCCAUACCUACGACAAGUAAUUUGGAACGGAGGGAGUACUAU